rnacentral:lncRNA from 1 species
AGCAUUCAUAAUUGGACACAUCAGUAAUUAUUAAAUCAUUUCAGAAUAAGCCUCUCACAGCGUACCAACCUUUGAAUCUCUGUGCUUAAUGAGCUCUUCCACUUUCUCUUUUGUAAGUGACCACAGAGACAUGUUUAAGAUAUAGUUAAAAUCAGGGCCAGAAGUUGAUCCAGAAGCAGAGGAAGCAUCAUCAUUUGCGUUUUGUGGGUCCUCCUCUUCUGCUGCCUUUUCCUGUGCUUCUUUCCAAGCUUUAACUGGAUCAGAUUCAUAGCCCCUCUGAACCAACAUUUGAAUCAAAUCUCUUUUUG